rnacentral:rRNA from 1 species
ACUCCUACGGGAGGCAGCAGUGGGGAAUAUUGGACAAUGGACCAAAAGUCUGAUCCAGCAAUUCUGUGUGUUUGAUGAAGGCCUUCGGGUUGUAAAGAACUUUCAGUGGGGAAGAAGCAAGUGACGGUACCCACAGAAGAAGCGACGGCUAAAUACGUGCCAGCAGCCGCGGUAAUACGUAUGUCGCAAGCAUUAUCCGGAAUUAUUGGGCAUAAAGGGCGUCUAGGCGGUCUAAUAAGUCUGAUGUGAAAAUGCGGGGCUCAACUCCGUAUUGCGUUGGAAACUGUUAGACUAGAGUUUUGGAGAGGUAGGCGGAACUACAGGUGUAGAGGUGAAAUUCGUAGAGAUUUGUAGGAAUGCCGAUGACGAAGGUAGCUUACUGGACAAAUACUGACGCUGAAGCGCGAAAGCUAGGGGAGCAAACAGGAUUAGAUACCCUGGUAGCGACUGA